CGGGAUGUAGCGUAGUUUGGUAGCGCAUCUGCUUUGGGAGCAGAGGGUCACAGGUUCAAAUCCUGUUAUCCCGA
rnacentral:tRNA from 3 species